GAUGCAUCUAGAUUCGCGGCCUAUCAGCUUGUUGGUGGGGUGAUGGCCUACCAAGGCGACGACGGGUAGCCGGCCUGAGAGGGUGUCCGGCCACACUGGGACUGAGAUACGGCCCAGACUCCUACGGGAGGCAGCAGUGGGGAAUAUUGCACAAUGGGCGCAAGCCUGAUGCAGCGACGCCGCGUGGGGGAUGACGGCCUUCGGGUUGUAAACCUCUUUCAGCAUCGACGAAGCGUUAUGUGACGGUAGAUGCAGAAGAAGCACCGGCCAACUACGUGCCAGCAGCCGCGGUAAUACGUAGGGUGCGAGCGUUGUCCGGAAUUACUGGGCGUAAAGAGCUCGUAGGUGGUUUGUCGCGUUGUUCGUGAAAACUCACAGCUUAACUGUGGGCGUGCGGGCGAUACGGGCAGACUGGAGUACUGCAGGGGAGACUGGAAUUCCUGGUGUAGCGGUGGAAUGCGCAGAUAUCAGGAGGAACACCGGUGGCGAAGGCGGGUCUCUGGGCAGUAACUGACGCUGAGGAGCGAAAGCGUGGGGAGCGAACAGGAUUAGAUACCCUGGUAGUCCACGCCGUAAACGGUGGGUACUAGGUGUGGGUUUCCUUCCUUGGGAUCCGUGCCGUAGCUAACGCAUUAA
rnacentral:rRNA from 1 species